rnacentral:misc_RNA from 1 species
GGCCAGCACCAAGAUAUAUAUAUUGAAAUCACUGUGGGUAUGAGCUUGAGUUCCAGUUGGAAAAAAAAAAAAAUGCCAAAACAGUAUUGAAUUAAAAUAUAACCUUUAAAAUUGAACAUAGUCACAAAUAUAAAUACAGAAAUGGCGCAUUGUUGACCAUGAAUCUAGUGCGUGGCUGUCGUCGAAACAUAAAGGUAUUCACCACCUCAUACUGGUUUCACUGUGCCACCCCAGAACGUCAUGAAAGUUAACCUUUAUGCGGCUGUCAACAAAGCAAAAGGGUUGGGGCUUUAGCAGCAAUAGCCAGGAAUAGUAGCCGCAGCACGAGGGGAUGGAUUUGUGAGAGGGCGGAAGCAAUUACCGAUCCCUUGGUUUUGGAAGGUCUAGCUUGUCAAGAAGCCUUGCUUCCAGCUAAGGAGAGGAACCUCAGGCGGGCAAUCUUUGAAGGUGAUUCGCAGGUGCUCAUUCAGGCCAUAAAAGGCUAUGAAACUCCUUCCCAAAUUCAAGAAUUAGUCUUAGACAUUCUUCAUUUGGCACAAUCUUUUGAUAAUUUUUCAUUCAAUUUGUUAGAAGAGGCUGUAACCAAGCUGCUUAUAGCAUUGCAGCAAUUGCUUUAAGGGAUACUUCUUUCUUGUUUAAUCGCUUGUAGCAAUUCCGGUUUGUAUUCCCCUUAUGCCCGCCUAGGGCCUCCAUGAAAUAAAUAAAUAAAUAAAUUUCACCACCACAAACAACAUUGACAGCACCUUUCUUCUCUUCUUCAGCCUCCUUUUCUCGCUCUUUCUAGCUCUCAUAUGCAUGAUCAUCGGUUUGCGGCUCACGCUGACAAAUUAGACAAGAGUUGUGCUCAUCCUCAGGUAUAGUGGUAUCAAGGUUGCUUAUGAGCUCUUCAAGUAUAUUGGCUGCAUUUUCCACUGGAGCUCCAGAAGAUUCAGCUCCCAAAAGAGAGGCCAUAGAACUCAUUAGGUUUGAUUGCACCAACCAUUGAGGUUGCGGUGGCUCAGGAUCCACAGUAAGAUGCCCCUCAAAAAGAUACCGUAAAAUGAAUCAAACACGACCCCACAAAAAAUCAGAAAUGAUAGUAAAAUUCACAAGCUUUCAAGAAAAAAAAAAUUAUGGUUUUCACAGAAGUCAACCUCCACGCGACGAACAAGGAAAAAUAUGGGGUGGAUUUUCCGUCAAAUGCAAAUGUUCUUUAACUUGAGCAACGCAAUUCUUCAAACGCUCCUUCUCAAAAGCAUCAGAAACCAAGCUUUUAGCUUGCUCAAACAACCCAAACCCAGCGAGCACCAGGCGCUGUAAUAUCCCGCUUUUAGAAUGGUCGCUACUCACUAAACAACGGAAUAGAACUGCGGCCACCACAAGAAGUUCAAAAUCCUCAUUGCAUAAGACACAAUCAUACACAAACAAAAUCAAUCGAUCCCAAUUAUAAAAAAAAAGACAAGAGGCAUAGUAAUUUGGGAAGAGAAGGAGAAGCAGAGGGGUAGAAAUCGCAGAAAAGGGAUUUGAUAGAAGACACAACAUCCUCAAAAUGUUUUUCUUUCCUAGCUGUUGCUGCAAUUCUUCCAAUUGUUGUUUCAAUCCAUCCUCCGAAGCCAUUUUUGUUGUUUCAUCAAUUCAGAAUCUAGAAUUCGCAAAUUCAGAAUCUUUUCCAUUACCCCCCAAGCAUCAGGUAUCUCAUUUGAAUCUCCAUUGUUGAUUUCUUUUUCUUGGCGAUGGGGAAACCUGUAGCGUUCGUUAAACCUGUAGCGUCUCAUCCAUAUGAUUUCUCGCCCAAUUGACCGUCGGCUGUAGAAUUUCCCAUUAAUGCACGACAGGUAGUACACCAAACACAUGCAAAUCGCCAACGCCAAGUCGUUUCCAACAACUAAUAGGGAAAUACUUUGCUACAGCCCAC